UCAAGUUGAAAAGGGUAUACGGCGGAUGCCUUGGUACCAGAAGGCGAUGAAGGACGUGGUUAACUGCGAUAAGCCUCGGGGAGCCGCAAGCAGGCUUUGAUCCGGGGAUUUCCGAAUGGGGAAACCCACCCGAGUAAACCUCGGGUAUCCUGACCUCAAUACAUAGGGUCAGGAGGCGAGACGGGGGGAAUUGAAACAUCUUAGUACCCCCAGGAAGAGAAAGUAAUAACGAUUCCCUAAGUAGCGGCGAGCGAAAGGGGAUGAGCCCAAACGCAAGAGGCGUGAUAGCUGUCAGGCGUUGCCUCCUGCGCGUUGUGGGGCCUGAUAUCUCUUUGCUGACAAGAAGAGAGAGAGUUACAAAAUCACUCUCUAGCCAAAGUGAGCUUGGAAAACUCCACCAGAGCGGGUGAUAGUCCCUUAGGCGAAAGAGAUUGAUCUCUCGCUAUCAGGUUCCCGAGUAGCACGGGAUAAGUGAAGCCCUGUGUGAAACCGGGAGGACCACCUCCCAAGGCUAAAUACUAACUGGUGACCGAUAGUGAACUAGUACCGUGAGGGAAAGGUGAAAAGUACCCCGGGAGGGGAGUGAAAUAGUACCUGAAACCGUAUACCUACAAGCAGUGGGAGCACCAUUGCCCCUGGCUUGCCAGAGGCAGGUGUGACCGCGUGCCUUUUGUAGAAUGAGCCGGCGAGUUACGCCAACCAGCCAGGUUAAGCAGCAGCUGCUGCGGAGCCGUAGCGAAAGCGAGUCUGAAUAGGGCGAUUUAGUUGGUUGACGUAGACCCGAAACCGGGUGAUCUAUCCAUGGCCAGGGUGAAACCUGUCUGAACGCAGGCGGAGGCCCGAACCCACUAAUGUUGAAAAAUUAGGGGAUGAGCUGUGGAUGGGGGUGAAAGGCCAAUCAAACCCGGAUAUAGCUGGUUCUCCCCGAAAUAGCUUUAGGGCUAGCCUCAAAUGUUGUCCUAUGGAGGUAGAGCACUGAAUGGACUAGGGGCCUUACCAGGUUACUGAAUCCAAUCAAACUCCGAAUACCAUAGGUACUAAUUUGGGAGUCAGACUGCGGGGGAUAAGCUCCGUAGUCGAAAGGGAAACAGCCCAGACCAUAAGCUAAGGUCCCCAAGUGCAGACUAAGUGGUAAAGGAAGUUGAAUUACCCAGACAGCCAGGAUGUUGGCUUAGAGGCAGCCACCAUUUAAAAAGUGCGUAACAGCUUACUGGUUAAGUGAUUCUGCACCGAAAAAUGUACGGGGCUCAAGUCUGCCACCGAAGCUAUGGCUUGGUAUCUUGUAUACCAGGGGUAGGGGAGCGUUCUCUCAGGGCAGAAGGGUUACCGAAAGGAGGCCUGGACUAGAGAGAAGUGAGAAUGCCGGCAUGAGUAACGAUAAGGCAAGUGAGAAUCUUGCCCGCCGAAAACCUAAGGUUUCCUGGGGAAGGUAAAUCCGCCCAGGGUUAGUCGGGCCUAAGCUCAGGCCGAAAGGCGUAGGCGAUGGACAACCGGUUAAUAUUCCGGUACUGCCAUCUGUUCAUUAUGAGUGAUGGGGUGACCCAGGAGGGUAGGUCAGCACGAUAAAAGUUACGUGUCUAAGCCCGUAGAGGGAAGAGACAGGCAAAUCCGUCUCUUCGUUAACCUCAAGAGGUGAUGGGGAGCUGCUACGGCGGCGAACUGAUUGAUCCCACACUGGCAAGAAAAACCUCUAACCAGAACAGAGGGCAUCCGUACUAAAACCGACACAGGUAGGUAGGUAGAGAAUACCAAGGCGCUCGAGAGAACCCUCGUUAAGGAACUCGGCAAAAUGACUCCGUAACUUCGGGAGAAGGAGUGCCUCACCAGGGUGAGUCUUAUUUACUCAGAUAAGCUCGAAGAGGCUGCAAUAAAACGGCCCAAGCGACUGUUUACUAAAAACACAGGUCUCUGCUAAAUCGAAAGAUGAUGUAUAGGGACUGACGCCUGCCCGGUGCUGGAAGGUCAAGGAAGGAGGUUAGUCGUAAGGCGAAGCUUCUGACCAAAGCCCCAGUAAACGGCGGCCGUAACUAUAACGGUCCUAAGGUAGCGAAAUUCCUUGUCGGGUAAGUUCCGACCCGCACGAAUGGCGUAACGAUUUGGGCACUGUCUCAACGAGGGACUCGGUGAAAUUGUAAUGCAAGUGAAGAUGCUUGCUACCCGCGACAGGACGGGAAGACCCCGUGAACCUUUACUAUAGCCUGAUAUUGGAUUUUAGCAUUCCCUGUGUAGGAUAGGUGGUAGGCUGUGAAGAAGAGGCGCUAGCCUCUUGGGAGCCACCCUUGAAAUACCACCCUCGGUCUGUUGAGGUUCUAACCCCAUGCCGUGAAUCCGGCUGGGGGACAGUAUUUGGUGGGUAGUUUGACUGGGGCGGUCACCUCCUAAAUUGUAACGGAGGUGUCCAAAGGUCUUCUCAGUGUGGUUGGAAAUCACACCAUAGAGUGCAAGGGCAUAAGAAGGCUUAACUGUGAGAGAGACAUCUCGAACAGAUGCGAAAGCAGGGCCUAGUGAUCCGGCGGUAGCUGGUGGAUGUGCCGUCGCUCAUCGGAUAAAAGGUACUCCGGGGAUAACAGGCUGAUCUCCCCCAAGAGUCCACAUCGACGGGGAGGUUUGGCACCUCGAUGUCGGCUCGUCGCAUCCUGGGGCUGAAGCAGGUCCCAAGGGUUUGGCUGUUCGCCAAUUAAAGCGGCACGCGAGCUGGGUUUAGAACGUCGUGAGACAGUUCGGUCCCUAUCCGUCGCGGGCGUGGGAUACUUGAGAGGGUCUGCCUCUAGUACGAGAGGACCGAGGUGGACGAACCGCUAGUGUACCAGUUGUCCUGCUCAGGGCAUUGCUGGGUAGCUAUGUUCGGUUAGGAUAAACGCUGAAAGCAUCUAAGCGUGAAGCCUGCCUCAAGAUGAGGUAUCCAUCUGGAAUAAAUCCAGGAGAGAUCCCGGGAAGAAGACCCGGUUGAUAGGUCAGGUGUGUAAGGCCAGUGAUGGUCUUAGCUAACUGAUACUAAUAGAUNNNNNNNNNNNNNNN
rnacentral:rRNA from 1 species